CCCCUUUUCAACGGAACUGGAAACACCUAUAUCACUCCUGCCGGCUUUCGGGCCGGCUAUGGCGAUAAACGGUCGGUGUAAUAAACCUAUUGGACCCGGGGGCGGUACCCGGCGCCUCCACCAAAAACCGGUCGGUCCUUGAUGACCGGCUUUUGAUGGGGGCGAAAUAGGAUCGACAAGGGCGUAAAGAUCGAACUUUUGCUCGGCAUGAUACCGCCGUUAUCGGGUCACAAGUGUAGUUGCAAACGACAACAACGCUAAGGGUUAUGCUCUCGCUGCCUAAUGGCGGUGCGGGAAACCCACUCUAAAGCCCUCUAGGUUAGCCCCUUGAGGCGGGGUCCGAAGGCACCUGGCAACAGAAGCCUUCACC
rnacentral:tmRNA from 1 species